rnacentral:rRNA from 1 species
UACGUAGGGUCCGAGCGUUUGUCCGGAAUUAUUGGGCGUAAAGGGCUCGUAGGCGGUUCGUCACGUCGGGAGUGAAAACUCGGGGCUUAACCCCGAGCCUGCUUCCGAUACGGGCAGACUAGAGGUAUGCAGGGGAGAACGGAAUUCCUGGUGUAGCGGUGAAAUGCGUAGAUAUCAGGAGGAACACCGGUGGCGAAGGCGGAUCUCUGGACCAGUUCUGACACUGAUGAGCGAAAGCCAGGGGAGCAAACAGG